rnacentral:rRNA from 1 species
GACGAACGCUGGCGGCGUGCUUAACACAUGCAAGUCGAACGGAAAGGCCCUGCUUUUGUGGGGUGCUCGAGUGGCGAACGGGUGAGUAACACGUGAGUAACCUGCCCUUGACUUUGGGAUAACUUCAGGAAACUGGGGCUAAUACCGGAUAGGAGCUCCUGCUGCAUGGUGGGGGUUGGAAAGUUUCGGCGGUUGGGGAUGGACUCGCGGCUUAUCAGCUUGUUGGUGGGGUAGUGGCUUACCAAGGCUUUGACGGGUAGCCGGCCUGAGAGGGUGACCGGGCACAUUGGGACUGAGAUACGGCCCAGACUCCUACGGGAGGCAGCAGGGGGGAAUAUUGCACAAUGGGCGGAAGCCUGAUGCAGCAACGCCGCGUGCGGGAUGACGGCCUUCGGGUUGUAAACCGCUUUCGCCUGUGACGAGGCGUGAGUGACGGUAAUGGGUAAAGAAGCACCGGCUAACUACGUG